GAUGAACGCUGGCGGCGUGCCUAAUACAUGCAAGUCGAGCGAACGGACGAGAAGCUUGCUCCUCUGAUGUUAGCGGCGGACGGGUGAGUAACACGUGGAUAACCUACCUAUAAGACUGGGAUAACUUCGGGAAACCGGAGCUAAUACCGGAUGAUAUUUUGAACCGCAUGGUUCAAUAGUGAAAGACGGUCUUGCUGUCACUUAUAGAUGGAUCCGCGCUGCAUUAGCUAGUUGGUAAGGUAACGGCUUACCAAGGCAACGAUGCAUAGCCGACCUGAGAGGGUGAUCGGCCACACUGGAACUGAGACACGGUCCAGACUCCUACGGGAGGCAGCAGUAGGGAAUCUUCCGCAAUGGGCGAAAGCCUGACGGAGCAACGCCGCGUGAGUGAUGAAGGUCUUCGGAUCGUAAAACUCUGUUAUUAGGGAAGAACAUAUGUGUAAGUAACUGUGCACAUCUUGACGGUACCUAAUCAGAAAGCCACGGCUAACUACGUG
rnacentral:rRNA from 1 species